CCUACGGGUGGCAGCAGUGAGGAAUAUUGGUCAAUGGGCGGGAGCCUGAACCAGCCAAGCCGCGUGAGGGAAGAAGGUACAGCGUAUCGUAAACCUCUUUUGUCAGGGAACAAAGGCCGGGACUAGUCCCCGUCUGCGUGUACCUUAAGAAAAAGCAUCGGCUAACUCCGUGCCAGCAGCCGCGGUAAUACGGAGGAUGCGAGCGUUAUCCGGAUUUAUUGGGUUUAAAGGGUGCGCGGGCGGCCUGUUAAGUCAGCGGUAAAAGCCCGGGGCUCAACCCCGGCGAGCCGUUGAAACUGGCGGGCUGGAGUUGGAGAGAGGUAGGCGGAAUGCGCGGUGUAGCGGUGAAAUGCUUAGAUAUCGCGCAGAACCCCGAUUGCGAAGGCAGCGUACCGGGUCAAAACUGACGCUGAGGCACGAAAGCGUGGGUAUCGAACAGGAUUAGAUACCCGAGUAGUC
rnacentral:rRNA from 1 species